AUGAAAGCUGACUGCGUUGUUUUUAGGAAAGAUCUAUGGUACCACCUCAACUUCUCGGCUCGCCGGAGGGACGACCACGACGAGGAGCAGAGCUUCUUUGCCGAACUGCGCUAUGACCAAUGUUCCGACGACCUGAUCGUCCAUAUAUGCACCAUCUUAGAAAAGCGGGUAUGUCGCUUCAGAAGCAGUUGUGCAUUCUGUCCGGACGAAUCCAAGAUUUUUCAUCCAAGCAAUGCAGAAAUUGGCUGCGGAAAGGAGGGGCAUGAAAUGGAAAUUUUUCGUGAGAGGCGUCGAAUCAACGGACAUACGAAUGAGUUCUUCAGCAAGAGCGAUAUGCUGAGCAUACCCUUCUUGCAAGGAGGACGCCUACCUCGAUAUAGACACAGUCUACAAUGA
rnacentral:rRNA from 1 species